CUCCCCCCUCCCCCAUACAUGUAGUGUCCAGCGGUGCAGGUUCCUACAAUAGAGGAUCCGCUCAGUGGAGAUCUUCUAUAUAAGAUCCUUCUCCUGACUGACCCGUCAAGGAUGGAUAGAGACAGAGACAAGAUGGCGGAGAGUAUAAUAAAUCUCACCCUAGAGAUCCUCUUCCGGCUUACUGGCGAGGACUACACAGUAGUGAAGAAGACCUCUAGUGAGCACUG